UUUACAAGCUCUAUUUUCAGGUCUUCAUUCUCUCUCUUUAGUUUGGAGAUCUCAUCAGAGACAGCAUGGAUAUCAGUGGAGUAUAAGUUCACUUUGGAAGGAAGUGCAGGGGAAUCACCACCCAUUAGAUUGCCAUUCAUGACAUCUCGAAGACGCUGUUGCUCGUAGUAUAGCACCUGAACCACAGUCUGAACAGGAAGCCGGUCAUUUUGGGCAGCAUGAGCACAAGCCUCCCUCGACAGCUUCUGACAAUCCAUCAAACUGCAGACUUUCUUCCUUUCCAUGUCACUUAAAGCAGGAUGAGCCUACAGAAUUAUAAUUAGACAAGCGCAUCAAAAGCAGAAACUUCUCUUGAAGGAAAUCCAUGAAGAUGUAAGAGUGCCACAAAUUCAGUUCCCCCAUUGAAUUUAUUCGAUAUGUUUGUAUACUAAUAGUUAAAAGUCAUCAACUUUGCAAUACGUUGCAUUAUACUGAGAACUAAAGUCAUAUCUACAUAUAAAUUACACAGUUCAAUAAAUUGAAAAGAACUAAACUGGAAUAAGAAUAAGUUAAUAAAAUGCCUUAAGCAUCUAAAAUUUUUUAUGUACAAAAAAAUUGCCAUUAAGAAGGUGCUAUAGGAGAUGGUAGCUAAUUUUUAUAUGGGCGGUUGUCAAAAAUUAGUAUUGAUGUUCUGGAAAUAAGAUUGUUAGAAUGAUCAAAAGAUCCAUAACAUGAACUGAAUAAAAUUGAAACAUUUUAGGAAGGCAUAAUUUUGGUACUGCAAAUAGAGAGAUUACAUAUAAGACAGUGCACCUUGAGGAAGAUGUCUAUGGCUCUAUACAUCCCAUCUUCUGUUAUCCUUGAUUGUUCAGGAAUAAGUUCAGCAAGACCAAUGAAUCUUGAAACAGUUAAAUUCCUGUCAGAGGCUAUUUCGGCUAGGUAGUUCUCCAUCAGCUUCCCAACUCGUUCCGUGUCACUUGGUGGGGGAGAAACAUACUCACCAUCUGCUUGGUAGCCCAAUCGGUUUCCUUCCACUGUGUAUUCGAGGUAAUUCAUCAUGAUCCUCUGAAUUGUAUCCACAUCAAACAAUGUGUCCCCAGUGAAUGAAUAAGAAGGAAUCAAGAGAUCAUCCAGGGCAGCCUGUCCUAAUUGCAAGGCCAUCCUCUUCUCCAAAUCAAGCCGGCAAGCAACUGUUGUUUCGAUAUAUAUUGCUGCACGUAGCAGCAUAGAUAGAAAGCUAACUGACAGUACAUUCCUCUCCCUUGGCAGAAGACUAACAAUUGUCUCUAAAACAACCCUCUUUUCAUGCUCUUGUUGAAGUUCAAUUUUCUUCCUCCCCUUUCCAAAUAUUUCCAAACCUCGUAGUGAUUUCUGUGCAUAAAGCAUAAGUAUGGGACCAAGAGCAUAUUGUUUGAAUCCUCUAGCCAUCAUUGCAACCAAAACUCUUUGGAAGAUAUCAAUCCUAAGAAUAGUUAAUUCUUCAGCCCACCAAUCAACAAUGGGCUUUGGUUGAGACAUUGUGGAAGAAAGGAUGCCCUCGUUGCCAGUAUCAGACCUGCCUGUCAUAGAAAAUUGGCUUUCCCUGCAGGCCAUGAAUGCUAUUGCAUCUAUGCAUCGACUCACCAAUUUUAUUUUCUCUGCCAGUGGAAGGAGGUUUUCUGAUAGGUGUAAGACAGAAACUGCCCCAGCAAGACUCUUAAGUGCCAUUUCGCUCAAGUAGGCUUCAGUUCUUGCCACUAAGUUUCCAACUGCAUAAUCCUCAGUCAUCUCUAGAUACUCUGCCACACAUCGAAGCAAGGCAAUGUUUUCUAUACUUAUUUCGAAAUUUAUUCCAUAACAGAACUUGGCUGCAAGUUCAAAUGCUUCUGCCCCGCCAGGGAUAUCAGGGGUUUGAAUCUCAGAAAGAUCGGCAUCAUUAGAUUCAGAUACCAUUUUCCUUAUGUAUCCACACUUUGAGACUAAUGGAAACUGCCAUGGGAAUAGGAGACCAACAAAAAUUCUCAAUUCAAGCAAAUUAAACGGGGACAAUAAGGUGAGUUACAAUUAGGCUAAAUGAUGGACAGUUCUCUAAACAUGGAAAAUUUAGGCUUAGACAUAUUCUUGUUAGAAGUAUUAGAAUUCCACAACUAAAAAUACUUUUUCUAGACUUCAUCAACCACUACUGAAUUCCUGUUGCUUCCUGAUUUGAUUUGUUGACACAACUAAAAAAUAAAAGAAAGGUACCACAGAAUAUGCUUGUUUUAGACUCGUAGACUUCAAUUACUAAAGAAGUUUGUCCCAUGAACAUUUCUUGCAAUUUUAAUGAUACCUUAAAAUGAGAAAGAGGAAUCAAGAUUAAUAAAUCCAACCUUAUGCAAUGAAAAGGAAACUCCUCCAGCAAGAACAGUGACAUCGCUGGGGAUUUCCUGCGAGAAAAUCCUGAAAAAGUUCAUGGCGCCAUCUCCAUUAGUUAUACAGGUAUCCAGGAGAAAAAGAACAAGACAAUAUUAAAUAAAAACAAGAGGGUAAAGAAAAAAGAAGCAAACCAUUCACUGGUUCGCUUCAUGGCAGUGGACAGAAGCUCUUUCUUUUUGGAGGACAUGUUAGCAGCACUGGUGGGCGCAGUUUCGUUCUAAUCAAGCUCCACCACGGCAGAGAAGGAAGGAUCUUUAUUGGGAUCAUGUCUCCAUCAGCUAGUGACGUAGUGUAAUAAUGAUGAGGCCAAAGUUGCAGAGAGCAAUUCUCUUCCUUUUUUUUUUAGCUGGAAAUAGUCAGUCCACAAGGUUUUCUGGAUUAAGCAGCGAGACCGCAAUGUGCUUGCCGAUCUAUCUUCACUCUUGAGUUCUUUUUUUGUUUCCUUAUGACCCUUUUUCAAAUUUUAGGCAAGGAGCUUAUGGACUUAGCAAUAAUGGUAUUAGAAGCUUAGCCCUCUCAUAAUUUCUCUAGGGACAAAUAUUUUAUCAUAUCCAUUUUCAGCCUCACAAAAACAACAGUGAC
rnacentral:misc_RNA from 1 species